GUCACCUGGAAAUUUUACACAGGGGUUCGUGGAGCCGAAAGUUUGAGAAACCCUGUACUUGUGAAUAGGCCCC